UGGGGAAUAUUGGUCAAUGGGCGAAAGCCUGAACCAGCAAUACCGCGUGAGUGAUGAAGGCCUUCGGGUUGUAAAGCUCUGUCAAUGGGAACGAAAAAAAUGACGGUACCCAUAAAGGAAGCAUCGGCUAACUCUGUGCCAGCAGCCGCGGUAAUACAGAGGAUGCAAGCGUUGUUCGAAAUUACUGGGCGUAAAGCGCGUGUAGGCGGCUUGAUAAGUCAGGCGUGAAAUCCCUUGGCUCAACCAAGGAACUGCGUUUGAAACUGUUUGGCUAGAGUAUCGGAGGGGAUGGCGGAAUUCCUGGUGUAGAGGUGAAAUUCGUAGAUAUCAGGAGGAACACCCGUGGCGAAGGCGGCCAUCUGGAAGAUUACUGACGCUGAGACGCGAAAGCGUGGGUAGCAAACA
rnacentral:rRNA from 1 species